UUUAACGGCCGCGGUAUUUUGACCGUGCGAAGGUAGCGCAAUCACUUGUCUUUUAAAUGAAGACCUGUAUGAAUGGCACGACGAGGGCUUAACUGUCUCCUUUUUCCAGUCAAUGAAAUUGAUCUUCCCGUGCAGAAGCGGGAAUAAUAUCAUAAGACGAGAAGACCCUGUGGAGCUUUAGACACUAAAUCAGCCCUUGUCCAAGAAUCCCAAUUAAAGGAAUGAACACUAGAGUGAGACCUGAUCUAAUGUCUUCGGUUGGGGCGACCUUGGGGAAAGAAAAAUCCCCCAUGCGGAACGGAAAUACCAUAUUUCUAAAACUGAGAGAGACCACUCAAAGUAUCAAAAAUUUUGACCAACUAUAUGAUCCGGCUUAACGCCGAUCAACGGACCAAGUUACCCCAGGGAUAACAGCGCAAUCCUCUUUUAGAGCCCAUAUCGACAAGAGGGUUUACGACCUCGAUGUUGGAUCACGACAUCCUAA
rnacentral:rRNA from 1 species